UACGGAGGGUGCGAGCGUUGUCCGGAAUCAUUGGGCGUAAAGGGCGCGUAGGUGGCCCGGUCAGUUCGUGGUGAAAGCGCGGGGCUCAACCCCGCGUCGGCCAUGAAUACUGCUGGGCUCGAGCACUGUAGAGGCAGGUGGAAUUCCGGGUGUAGCGGUGGAAUGCGUAGAGAUCCGGAAGAACACCGGUGGCGAAGGCGGCCUGCUGGGCAGUAGCUGACGCUGAGGCGCGACAGCGUGGGGAGCAAACAGG
rnacentral:rRNA from 1 species